GAAUUGUGGGAGGCUGGCGCCACUGCAGGUGGAGUAAGCCUCCGCUGCGCUCCACCCUGAGAUCGGAGGACCAGGGCGCAGGGAGAGCAAUUUGGUGCUUUCUGGGUCCUCCAAGAAGCGGCCAGAGGAAAAGACAGUGCCAGUGUUACAGAUUCAACACAAACGUUCCAGUUAGAAGAAGGAAUUCAAACGGAAUGCCAAGGUCCAAGCCAGGCUCGGGAAACUAAAAGGGAGGAUUGGAGCAAUGGAUAAGCUGACUCCAGUGUGCUCCAGAGUGAGUCUGGGUCUGCUCUUCCUAUGGGCCAUGGUGUUCUGUGACAGAGUCUGCUCCUUAAGACUGGACUCCUCUUCUGACCCAUUUACCACAGCUCACACAGAAAGUAUCCACUUUGCAAUUUAAUGGGAAUUGAUCUUGAAAAUCAUAGAGAGAGAACUCGUGACUAUAGCUAAAGAACGGAGAGAAAGGGGAGCUGGGAGAGCCUUGGAAGUUUCUAUUACAAAUAGAGCACCAUAUCCUUCAUGCCAAAUCUCAACCCAAGCUCUCUGAACUGCAUCUGUCCAGUGUUUACAAACAACCUCUCAAGUCUACAAAUGGAUUACUUCUUGGAAACAGGGUUCCACUACAUUGACCA
ensembl:antisense predicted gene, 17344